GCCGGCAGCUAGCUCUCUGCAACUCUCACAUGGUCGCCCACUGAAGCUAAGUAGGGCUGUGCCUAGUCAGUAACAGGAUGGGAGACCACAAGGAAAAUGUUAGGUUGCUGCCGGAA
rnacentral:rRNA from 1 species